rnacentral:rRNA from 1 species
UCAAGCGAAUAAGGGCUGACGGUGGAUACCUAGGCACGCAGCGGCGAUGAAGGACGUGGUUACCGACGAUAUGCUCCGGGGAGUUGGAAGCAAACAUUGAGCCGGAGAUUUUCCGAAUGGGGCAACCCUAUAUACUACUUGUUGAACACAUAGACAAGUGAGAGCCAACCCAGCGAAUUGAAACAUCUUAGUAGCUGGAGGAAAAGAAAUCAAACGAGAUUCCCUAAGUAGUGGUGAGCGAAAGGGGAAGAGCCUAAACCAAAUUGCUUGCAAUUUGGGGUAGUGGGACAGCGAUAUGGAAUCGAGCGAUUAGACGAAGCAUUUAAUCGAUGCACCAAAGAAAGUAAAAGUCUUGUAGUCGAAAAUUGUCGAGAUACUAGCUGAAUCCCGAGUAGCAUGGAGCACGUGAAAAUUCCAUGUGAAUCAGCCACGACCACGUGGUAAGGCUAAAUACGUCUGCGUGAGCGAUAGCGAACAAGUACCGCGAGGGAAAGGUGAAAAGAACCCCGUUGAGGGGAGUGAAAUAGAACAUGAAACCGUCAGCUUACAAGCAGUGGGAGUUCGAUUAAACGAAUGACCGCGUGCCUGUUGAAGAAUGAGCCGGCGAGUUAUAUGUGCUGGUAGGUUAAGUAGGAAUUACGAAGCCAAAGCGAAAGCGAGUCUGAAUAGGGCGUUUUAUCAGUAUGUAUAGACCCGAACCCUGGCGAUCUAACCAUGUCCAGGAUGAAGCUUGGGUAACACCAAGUGAAGGUCCGAACCGACUAAUGUUGAAAAAUUAGCGGAUGAGGUGUGGUUAGGGGUGAAAUGCCAAUCGAGCCAGGAGCUAGCUGGUUCUCCCCGAAAUGUGUUUAGGCGCAGCGGUGAAUAUUAAGCUUUGGGGUAAAGCACUGUUUCGGUGCGGGCUGGGAGACCGGUACCAAAUCGAGACAAACUCAGAAUACCAGAGUGAAUUAUCACUAGUAAGACAGUGAGGGAUAAGCUUCAUUGUCAAGAGGGAAACAGCCCAGACCACCAGCUAAGGUCCCCAAAUCAAUGUUAAGUGGGAAAGGAGGUGCAAGUGCAAAGACAACCAGGAGGUUUGCCUAGAAGCAGCCACCCUAGAAUGAGUGCGUAAUAGCUCACUGGUCAAGCGCUUGCGCGCCGAAAAUGAACGGGACUAAACAUUGUACCGAAGCUGUGGGAUUGAAAAAUCGGUAGGGGAGCGUUCUAUUUGAUGGGAAGCAGUAGCGGCGAGCAGCUGUGGAUUGGAUAGAAGUGAGAAUGUCGGCUUGAGUAGCGCAAAUAUUGGUGAGAAUCCAAUACCCCGAAACCCCAAGGGUUCCAGAGGCAGGUUCGUCCACUCUGGGUAAGUCGGGACCUAAGGCGAGGACGAAAGUCGUAGUCGAUGGACAUGAGGUUAAUAUUCCUCAACUAGAAUUGUGGAGCAUUAUGUGGGACGCAUUGAGAAGCAACUAUGCCCUGAUUGGAUUGGGAGGGGAAUACGUUCUCCGUUUAGUUGUAAUUGGUGUCAAGAAAAGCAUGUAAUGUGUUGAAGCAGUUUUACCCGUACUCGAAACCGACACAGGUGGGGAGGUAGAGAAUACCAAGGGGCGCGAGAUAACUCUCUCUAAGGAACUCGGCAAAAUAGCCCCGUAACUUCGGAAGAAGGGGUGCCCAGUGAUGAACUGGGUCGCAGUGAAUAGGUCCAGGCGACUGUUUACCAAAAACACAGGUCUCUGCAAACGAGUAAUCGGAAGUAUAGGGGCUGACGCCUGCCCAGUGCCGGAAGGUUAAGGAAGUUGGUCAGGCUUUUGGGUUAAAGCUGACGACCGAAGCCCCGGUGAACGGCGGCCGUAACUAUAACGGUCCUAAGGUAGCGAAAUUCCUUGUCGGGUAAGUUCCGACCCGCACGAAAGGCGUAACGAUCUGGACGGUGUCUCGGAGAGAGACUCGGCGAAAUAGGAUUGUCUGUGAAGAUACGGACUGCCUGCACCUGGACAGAAAGACCCUAUGAAGCUUUACUGUAGCCUGGAAUUGUGUUCGGGCUUGGCUUGCGCAGGAUAGGUGGGAAGCGUAGAAGUAGUCCUUGUGGGGAUUAUGGAGCUAACGGUGAGAUACCACUCUGGCGAAGCUAGAAUUCUAACCAAUGUCCGUCAUCCGGAAUUGGAACAUUUUCAGGUGGGCAGUUUGACUGGGGCGGUCGCCUCCUAAAAGGUAACGGAGGCGCGCAAUGGUUCUCUCAGCACGGUUGGAAAUCGUGCGUCGAGUGUAAAGGCAAUAAGAGAGCUUGACUGUGACACCAACAAGUGAAACAGGUACGAAAGUAGGCCUUAGUGAUCCGACGGCGCAGAGUGGAAUGGCCGUCGCUCAACGGAUAAAAGUUACUCUAGGGAUAACAGGCUGAUCUCCCCCAAGAGUCCACAUCGACGGGGAGGUUUGGCACCUCGAUGUCGGCUCAUCGCAACCUGGGGCGGAAGUACGUCCCAAGGGUUGGGCUGUUCGCCCAUUAAAGCGGUACGUGAGCUGGGUUCAGAACGUCGUGAGACAGUUCGGUCCAUAUCCGGUGCAGGCGUAAGAACAUUGAGAGGAGCCUUCCUUAGUACGAGAGGACCGGGAAGGACGAACCGCUGGUGUGCCAGUUAUUUCGCCAGAAGUAAACGCUGGGUAGCCAUGUUCGGAGCGGAUAACCGCUGAAAGCAUCUAAGUGGGAAGCCCACCUCAAGAUGAGUGUUCUCACUACUUUAAGUAGGUAAGGUCACACGUAGAACACGUGUUAAUAGGCUUUAGGUGGAAGCGUGGUAACAUGCGAAGCCGAGAAGUACUAACAGACCGAGGGCUUGACCAA